UACGUAGGUGGCAAGCGUUGUCCGGAUUUACUGGGCGUAAAGAGCGCGCAGGCGGUCGAUAAGUCGAAUGUGAAAGCCCCCGGCUCAACUGGGGAGGGUCAUUCGAUACUGUUCGACUCGAAGGCAGGAGAGAGAAGUGGAAUUCCCGGUGUAGUGGUGAAAUGCGUAGAUAUCGGGAGGAACACCAGUGGCGAAGGCGACUUCCUGGCCUGUUCUUGACGCUGAGGCGCGAAAGCGUGGGGAGCAAACAGG
rnacentral:rRNA from 1 species